GAUGAACGCUGGCGGCGUGCCUAAUACAUGCCAGUCGAGCGAACAGACGAGGAGCUUGCUCCUCUGACGUUAGCGGCGGACGGGUGAGUAACACGUGGAUAACCUACCUAUCAGACUGGGAUCACUUCGGGAAACCGGCGCUAAUACCGGAUAAUAUACUGAACCGCAUGGUUCAAUAGUGAAAGACGGUUUUGCUGUCACUUAUCGAUGGAUCUGCGCCGCAUUAGCUAGUUGGUAAGGUAACGGCUUACCAAGGCUACGAUGCGUAGCCGACGUGAGAGGGUGAUCGGCCGCACUGGAACUGGAACACGGUCCAUACUCCUACGGGAGGCAGCAGUAGGGAAUCUUCCGCAAUGGGCGAAAACUUGACGGAACAACGCCGCGUGAGUGAUGAAAGUCUUCGGAUCGGAAAACUCUGUUAUGAGGGAAGAACAGAUGUGUAAGUAACUAUGCACGUCUUGACGGUACCUAAUCAGAAAGCCACGGCUAACUACGUG
rnacentral:rRNA from 1 species